rnacentral:misc_RNA from 1 species
AACGCACCUUGCGCCCCUUGGCAUUCCGAGGGGCACACCCGUUUGAGUGUCGUGAAAUUCUCAAAAACCCUUUCCUUUUGAUCGGAUUUUUGGACUUGGAGGUUCAAUGCUCGCCUUCAACUUUUGAAAGCGAGCUCCUCUCAAAUACAUUAGUGGGGUCCGCUUUGCUGGUCCUUGACGUGAUAAGAUGUUUCUACGUUUUGGAUUUGGCACUGUCCCUUUGGAUCCCGCUCCCAACCCGUCCGUCUCACGGACAACGAUGGUGCUCCGGUCACCGCCAUUUACAUCGGCGGGAGGCUGGACCCACAAAAACGAACCUUGACCUCAAAUCGGGUGAGACUACCCGCUGAACUUAA